GAACGAACGCUGGCGGCAGGCCUACCCCAUGCAAGUCGAGCGGACAUCUUCGGAUGUUAGCGGCGGACGGGUGAGUAACGCGUGGGAACGUGCCCUUUGCUUCGGAAUAGCCUCGGGAAACUGGGAGUAAUACCGGAUGUACCCUUUGGGGGAAAGAUUUAUCGGCAAAGGAUCGGCCCGCGUUGGAUUAGGUAGUUGGUGGGGUAAUGGCCUACCAAGCCGACGAUCCAUAGCUGGUUUGAGAGGAUGAUCAGCCACACUGGGACUGAGACACGGCCCAGACUCCUACGGGAGGCAGCAGUGGGGAAUCUUAGACAAUGGCGGAAACCCUGAUCUAGCCAUGCCGCGUGAGCGAUGAAGGCCUUAGGGUUGUAAAGCUCUUUCACCGGGGAAGAUAAUGACGGUACCCGGAGAAGAAGCCCCGGCUAACUCCGUG
rnacentral:rRNA from 1 species